CGACGGACAGUUUUGAUUCUUCACUUUCCUGACGUUCAGAUGUGGUGGGCUGUACUCCUAACCAGAAAUAAAUGAGGAAUGCAAGCAGGCCAGUGAAGGGCUCUGACGUCACAAAGAGAGACUGGAAGAAUUUCUGUAGAAUUCUGUGGUGUUUGUAGUUUGCUAAAAAGAAAAAGAAAAAGAACAACAACAAAAAACACUUUUAGCUACAGGAAAAAUAGUCAACUUUUCUUUCACCCACACUUUGCCCCCUCCUACACACUGCUGCUGGUUUAGUCAAUAGUUUGAAAGUGUUAAUCGAUCAUACAGGAAGUGAGAAGAAGAAGAAAAAAAAAAAAAAAGAGGCCUUGAACUUUGUGACGCUGCUCCUGGU